rnacentral:rRNA from 1 species
UACGGAGGGUGCGAGCGUUGUCCGGAAUCACUGGGGCGUAAAGGGCGCGUAGGCGGCCCGGCAAGUCAACGGUGAAAGCUUGGGGCUCAACCCCGAGUCGGCCGUCGAUACUUCCGGGCUGGAGCACUGUAGAGGCAGGGUGGAAUUCCGGGUGUAGCGGUGGAAUGCGUAGAGAUCCGGAAGAACACCGGUGGCGAAGGCGGCCAACUGGACCAUUACUGACGCGAGCGCGAAGCGUGGGAGGCAA